UGGACGUGGGAAUCAAGCCAUAACCUUCUGCGUACGAAGCAGAAAUGAUAUCCAUUAGACUACAUACCC
rnacentral:tRNA from 1 species